GAAAUCGAGGAAGCCUCAGGAUAAGGAAGGGGGCAGGAGAGGACAGGCGUCUGAAGACAUGGACGUGGGCCCAUCCCUGCCACGGUCCUGAGGCUGCAGGGGGCCCACAGCCCUCUGUGGGCUCCGUUUCCCUGUCUGGAAACAGGGUUAGGACUAACUGGAAUUCCCUCUCUGCUAAGCAUUCUCCAACCCAAGGGCUCACAUCCACGAUUGUGACCCCUUAAGGGAGGGAAGAGGCUGGGGUGAUGGGAGGAGCCCAGGACGGCCUGGGGGCAGGGAGCUGGGACCAAGCACUCGGGGGCGGGCACCACAGGUCACGCCUUCGCCCACCCCCCACCCCGGCUGAUGGAUCCUCUGACCCUGCGUUCUGUCCCGAAACGCACCCCUCCCUUGGAAGCUACCCCCAGAGAGAGCAGGAGCCACUGUGGCCCCAUGGUUCGGAGCCACCACAGCAAAGCGAAUUAAGGGAGGUGGCUCAGACCUCGGCUAGAAGCCUCGGUGGCACUCGGGAGGGACUUCACAAACCAGGAUGCAGACGGGGAAAGCGCCAGGGCUUUUCCUGUAGGUGUGGGGCGGCCUCUGGCAGUUAAGGAACACAGAAUUCAGGAAGGCAGUGAGUCCUGGGCUGAGGCAGCUCCCGCACAGGCAGCCACACCACCCGGGGCUUCCAGAGGGGCAGCUCCAGUACAGGCAGCGGCACCACCCGGGGCUUCCAGCGGGUCCAUGUGGAGAGUCCCUCGAACGAAGCCCUCUGGCCGGCACCCGGCAGGGCUGAGCACACGCUAGGCCUCAGUCAUCCUCAUUGGCUGUGUCAUCCUCAUUAAACAAAGAUUUCUCCUAACAGGCCCUCAAAAUUAACCUGCAGGAUUUCCCCUUAGAAUCUAAGUGAGAUCUCUUGCUUCAAAUAAGCCUUAAAGUUCUCCCUCCAGGGCUGGGCGCAGUGGCUCACUCCUGUAAUCCCAGCACUUUGGGAGGCUGAGACCCGUGAGCAGCUACAAGCCGAAGUGCAGAGGGCGCAGGCGCGGAUAGAGGACCUGGAGAAGGCCCUGGCGGAGCAGGGGCAGGAUAUGAAGUGGAUUGAAGAGAAGCAGGCACUGUACCGGAGAAAUCAAGAGCUUGUGGAAAAGAUCAAACAAAUGGAGACGGAAGAGGCUCGGCUCAGACACGAGGUGCAGGACGCCAGAGACCAAAACGAGCUGCUGGAGUUCAGGAUCCUGGAGCUUGAGGAGAGGGAGAGGAAGUCACCCGCCAUCAGCUUCCACCACACGCCCUUCGUGGACGGGAAGAGCCCCCUCCAGGUGUACUGCGAGGCCGAAGGUGUGACGGACAUUGUGGUUGCGGAGCUGAUGAAGAAGCUGGACAUCCUGGGCGAUAACGCCAACCUGACCAAUGAGGAGCAGGUGGUUGUCAUACAAGCCAGGACAGUCCUGACCUUGGCCGAAAAGUGGCUCCAGCAGAUUGAGGAGACAGAGGCGGCGCUGCAGCGGAAGAUGGUGGAUCUGGAGAGCGAGAAGGAGCUGUUCAGUAAGCAGAAGGGCUACCUGGACGAGGAGCUGGACUACCGGAAACAGGCCUUGGACCAGGCCAACAAGCACAUCCUGGAGCUGGAAGCCAUGCUGUAUGAUGCCCUGCAGCAGGAGGCCGGGGCUAAGGUGGCUGAGCUGCUGUCAGAGGAGGAGCGCGAGAAGCUCAAGGUGGCCGUGGAGCAGUGGAAGCGCCAGGUCAUGAGUGAGCUGCGCGAGCGGGACGCCCAGAUCCUGCGGGAGCGCAUGGAGCUGCUGCAGCUGGCUCAGCAGAGAAUUAAAGAGUUAGAAGAAAGAAUAGAAGCUCAGAAGAGACAAAUAAAGGAACUAGAGGAAAAGCUUUCAUUCUCUGGUCAUAGUCCGUCUUGGCACCCUGACGUGCCCCACAUUGAAUCGGACCCUUUUCCUCCAGUGGGACCAGAGAGCAGGGACAAAAUGGGACGUCGCGUCUCCAUCCUGAAGACCCAGGGAGAUUUGGUCUCUGCACGCCCGUCCCGUGGAGGAAGAGUGAGAAGGGGCAGUGUGUGGGGCGCGGAGCUGCCGUCCACGUGGGAUGCGCCAGAACUAGAACUGGCUCUGCCGACUUCUCGGGGGCUUCUCCGGGAGAGGCCUGGCCUUGGCUGCUGGACCCUGGGUCCCUUCUCCUGGACGGCAGCCCCCAUCCCAUUUCCAGGGAUGUGUAGCAUUCCCUGCCAAGCAGGGGUGAGAACUGCUUCUGUGCAGAAGCACCAGCCGCAGGUCCCCUCCUCUCUCUUGGUUCUCACAGUAGCUGCCACUGGUGUCUGGAGGAAGAUUUUCAGAAACAACAGAGGCUUGGCCUGAUGACAAGAUGAAAGCUGGACGGUGACCUUCAUUCAGGGGAACCUGGAGGCUCCCUGGGAUGGUCCUGGGAGGGCUCCCCGACGCCUCAGGGGCCCCUCCGAUGCUGCAAUGUGUUGCUGGGGUCCUGAGCAUCUAUUGGCCAACAGACCCCACAUCCACCCUCGUUCAUCAUCAUCUCUGUGGGGACAGACAAGAGCCGUGGCCGCCACGGGCCGCGUGGUGCCAUCAACCCUCUGCCUCCCUACUCAACCUGAGACAGGAAGGCCAAGAUCCCGCCCAAGCCGCCAGCUGGGAGCACCGCGGGACUGAGCCAAGGAAGGCGUGGGGAGCGUGGUGACAGGAGGUGGGACAAGGGGGCAGAGCUGGCUGGAACACGGAUGCCAGAGGCUGCCUUCAUAGUGAAUCUCCAGAAGUCACAGAGGCCCUGGGCACCCAGAGCCACCCAGCCUGGAAGCCCCUGCACGGGCCAGCCCUGCAGGCCAUGGACCCCGGCAGGCACCGAAGCCUCACCCCAAACCUUUGCACACAAGGAGCAGCCCAGGUGGGGACGGCGGGCGCAAGAAGGGAACCGCGGGGACGGUCUUUUCCCUCCCGCCCUGUGUGGGGAUGCUGCACGAGCCGUGGACCAAGAGGCUGACAGAGAGGAAGCAGUGCAUUGGUGAAGGCAACGUUAGGUGUGAUUUCCACUCCUGCUGGGAGACCCAGGCCACAGCCCAGGAGCUUCGUCCAGCCUGUGGAUGGAGCCUGACUGGCUGCAGAUGGAACUUCUGUGUCCUCCCACCCUAGGUGGGCUAAGGUUCUGCUCUCAGAGCUGAAUUGACAGGAGGUGUGUGUGUGUGCUCACUUGUGUGCACAAGCAUGCGUUUAUGCAUGUUUUCAUGCAACCAGAAGAGCCAUUCGUGGGAUUUAGCCAUUUCGAGGCACCUAGAAGUUGAGGCAGCCAGCUGUGCAGCCAGGUGUGACUGUUACUGGCAGCAUUGUAUAAAAGACACGACUCAGCUGCCGUAGGGAGGACUGGGUUGUCUGGAAGUAUUAGGCUCAUUUUAUAUUUGUGUCAGAAGAAAUGUCUGACUUUGGGGCAGAUGACACAGUGGCUGCGGACCAGGCAUGGCUCCCUAGGUUGAAAUCAGGGAAAAGCUAAUAGUAUCAGACAGAUAUGCUUUUUCUUUGGUGGCUGCAGGAUUUCUGCUGGAAAAUGCACUAUUAAUCAGCACUUGUCCAAGAAAGACCCAUCCAUUUCUGUUGUCAUUCAAGCCACAGUUCCUGAUUUACUCGGCAAGAUACUGGGCCAGUUCAAUGUCUCUAGCUGAGCCUGACCUCGGGGUUUGCGUCUCGAGUCUGAAAUCCUGUUUAGUCCUCUGUGCAUAGUUUUGUCUCAUUUUAACGACUGCAUCUUCUUGGCACAUUUAUUAUACUCACAACUGAAUGGCACACAAUAGCCUUGUGUUAAUAAAAGCUACCGUGGCGCUGUGGGUGAACCGCUGGGUUGAAGUCCGAUGGACUCUACGAUGCAGGCAUCCAGAAAUAUGUUGUAACUCUACCUGGCUCCCUGCCAGCCUGGCCUCCUCCUCUGGGAGAGCUCCUGGCAUGGUCCCAAUGUGUACCUGCAUGGGAACAACAGCUGCAUGGGCCAGCUGUUUCGGAUCUAAAGAUGUGCAGUGAAACUCACAUUCCCAGAUUCACAUCCCUCAUGUUUAUUUGGGUCAUCAUGGUUUAGCAUGUUGUAUAUAUGUCUGGAGCACUUCAUACACCUCUAUCCACCACAGACACUCUUAAUCACAGUUCUGUAAUAAUAAUAAGGCAAACUAUACGGCAAAGAGAAGCAUGUAAAUAUGUACCAAAUCCUUAUGAAGUUGUAAUUGUUUAUAUGUAAAAAGUAUGUAUAUAGGAAAGGGAGAAGGUGCAAGGAAUGUGCUGAAUAACCAAACUGCAUCGCGUCUCUGCCCCAUUCCUGAAAGCACACAUCUAGUUGGAGCGUCAGUUCCUCUCCUUAGAUAUCAUUGUUUUCACUCGUCUAUCAUAGGCACCUUCUUUACAUCUGAUUACAAUACCCAGCAUUUCAGAACUGGGUUUUUGCCCCCAAAAAGGUAAAUAUGAGCAUUCAUCACUGACUCCUCCUGGUCCAGUGAGCAGCAGCAGAAUUCAAGUAUUUAAAAAUAAGGUGCAUUUCUAAAUUGCAGGCUAUACCUUCUUUUCCAAACCAAUGGGCUAGAGUGAAUUUCCUCCAAGUACUUGGGCUGUCUUACUGCUAGCUCUUCUAACAGGGGAAGUCUGUAUGAAUGCAUCACCCCCUAAUAAGGCAAGAGGAAGGACCCUGAAAUGUUGCCAGAAAUGUUUACUGUUACAUCAACAUUUACAUUAUAUUAACAUCAUCACACUCUGUGUUCAACACACAGAACAACAUAGAUACUCUAGUUUGUCUAAAGUAAAAAUCCACAUAAAUAGCAGAUUCCUUUGUUGACACCAGUGUGGUGUUUACCUUGUGCCCAUGGUCCAGAUUUUGAGCUGGAGAAGGACUAUGGCUGUUCCUUAAAGUCUCUGCCCUUGCAGAAUCUGUAGCCUUCAGGAUACCCCGAGUGCCUUACAGGGCUUGUGAACACCGAUACUAGAAGUCAAAAAGAAGAGAGUGCCCAAGUGUGGGUUUGGAGGCACUGACGCAUUCGCCAACUCACUGUCAUCCCAUCCUUGAAACCCUGAGAGAGUGUGUGUGUUUUAUCACAGUAAUGGAAUUCAGUUUAGGCUCAGGAAACUCAUAUUGUGAAUAUAGGUAUCAAAUCAUAUAUUUGUUUACUGUAUAUUUUUUAAAAAGCUUUAUUGUAAAUUUAUGCAAAAACUAACCGGGCCUGUUUUCUUACGGCGGCAUGCCAGGUAGUGUGUGUAUUCUCCCAGGCACUCCCUUCAUAGUCACCCUCUAACCACGUGACAUUCCGUUCCAUGCUAAGCAGUAUUCACAGGCCUAAAAUAGGUUUGUAUGGUGAUCUACAAGAUUUUACAAAUAUUUUUGUAUUGUGAUUCCUAUGAUAUAUACCAGAGAAUUUUUUACUCGUUUGUAAAUUAUUGUACAGUUUUAAUAAAAAAUGUUUUAAAUCUUA
rnacentral:sRNA from 1 species